AGUGAACGCUGGCGGCGUGCUUAACACAUGCAAGUCGAACGAGAACGGGUUAUAGCUUGCUAUAAUUGUCAGCUAAGUGGCGCACGGGUGAGUAAUGUAUAGGUAAUAUGCCUCUUACUAAGGGAUAACAAAUGGAAACGUUUGCUAAUACCUUAUACUCCUUAUUAACAUAAGUUAAUAAGGGAAAGAUUUAUUGGUAAGAGAUUAGCCUGUAUUGUAUCAGUUAGUUGGUGGGGUAAUGGCUUACCAAGACUAUGACACAUAACUGGUUUGAGAGGAUGAUCAGUCACACUGGAACUGGGACACGGUCCAGACUCCUACGGGAGGCAGCAGUGGGGAAUAUUGCACAAUGGACGAGAGUCUGAUGCAGCAACGCCGCGUGGAGGAUGACACAUUUCGGUGCGUAAACUCCUUUUAUAUGAGAAGAUAAUGACGGUAUUAUAUGAAUAAGCACCGGCUAACUCCGUGCCAGCAGCCGCUGUAC
rnacentral:rRNA from 1 species